UGAUAACGUCUUUGAUAAUAUAAGAAUUUCAAGUAGGAUAUCACCAGUUUGAGCUGGUUUUACUAUUUUAAACUUUUUAUAUAAGCCGUGGUUUGUUGAACUGACGAGAAGUAUAUUCUACGUCCUUGGGAAAGGACAAUGUCUGAUGAAGAGGCAAUUAAAACAGCGGCGACAGUAGGGACAGCGCCGUUGUGGGUACCUGCAGCCGCUGCAGGUGGCAUUGUUUACGGUGCAGGAAAAGGUCUUGAUGCUGCAAAUGACUUUGGGAAGGAGCACGGUCCUAUAGCUGGUAUAGCAGCAGCUCCAUUCAUUGUUGCCGCCAACAUUAUAGCUGGUCCAUUCAGAGGAAUCAAGAAAGUGGGUGAUACGAUGAUAGGGAAGAGUGAUAAAAAGUAAACUACUUAUUGCGUAGCAUUGUGGAAUGGCUUUAAUGAAAUAUUGUUCAAACCAUUAUCAAUGUACGUCUUGUAGUAUGGUAGCAUUUCAAAUUCAUUUGUUUCGAAAAGAUUAUUUCACAUACAAACUCAUUCUACUGCAUUGUACAAUUUGCAUUAUAUAUCAACAGUUUUUAUCAACAUGUCAUGGAAAACAUUAUGAUAAUCAGACGAAGAUAGAUAAAUAAAUGUACGAACUUUGUGGUCUGGCGACCUAAACUUUAAAAGUUGUAGAUUUUUAAAAUGAAUAAAAACGACCCAUAAAAGGUUCUUAAGAUAUAUCGUGUCAUUUAAAAGAUAUAUGAGCAGGAAAAUCACUUUGAGAUAUUUCUUUUUUGAUUUUAUCAUAUUUUGUGUGAAGUUGGCGACCUAGCGACCUGAACUUUUAUAGUUGUUGAAAUUUGAUGAAAACAAUUACAACGACUUUAAUAAUGUUCUUAAGACAUUUUUGUCCUUUUAAAGAUAUAUAAGCAGACGAAUAACUCGAAUAAGUUUCUGAUUUUAAUAUUUUUGUAACGCUGCGGAUAAACUUUGAAAGUAGUUGAAAUUUUGUAAAAAAACUACUACAGCUCUAAAGUUCUUUAAACCUUUUGUUCAUUUAAAAGACAAACAAGAAGAUAAACUUGCUUUAAUCAUUUUUGUGAUCUUGACGGCCUAGUAGCCUACCAGUUUAAACUGUUCAAGUUGUACAGUUUUAUGAAACCAAUUAAAAUGGCUCUUAAUGAAAUUCUUAAUGCAUUUUGUCAUUUAAAAGAUAUAUAAGACCAUUGCUCCACCCAAUUGAAGAACUCAUGGUAUAAAUAAUAAGGAUAACAUAUAUAUAUAUUGCACAUACUAUUAUUACCCAACAUGCUAGUAUAAGAUUUAAACUACUGUAAAAUAACCUAUUUGCAUGAUUUCCCAAUUAUUUUGUUACUUUGCAAUACUUUGCAAACAUUUAUGUUUGGAUUUUUAAAAAAAAACAACUUUUUCAAUAACUUAGUUUAUAACCAAAUUUGUCUAUUAGCACACUAUUUUUAUAUAUAGAUAAACAGUAACUAUAUUUCACAGAUUUAAUUCAACAUAUAGAAAAUAUAUAUAAUUAGAAAAUACAUGAUAAACGGAAGUGUGAAAUGAAGUAAUGUUAUGGCCCGGCCUACACAUAUCUAAGAAGACAGUUUGCUAACAGUGUAUAUAGAAAUGUAUGUAUGACAUUGUAAUAAAGUAUUAGAUUUUAAUGUAAAAAUUUAAAAAGGUGUCUCAUAAGUCAAAAUGGCUGGCCCUUUCAGUAGGGGUGACACUAUAAUAAACAAAACCUUUACCUUUACCUUUUUAUAACAAAGAAUUGUAUGAAAGACAAUAUAACUAAUGAAAUUAUCUAUCAUUUUUAAUAUUCAUUCAUAUAUACAUGUAUACAAGAAAGGUUGAUUUUUUUACACUGAACAUAAACUUGCAAUAAACAUGAUAAAUAUUU